AGUACGGACAGAGACAUAUACUACAAAUUGUAUUAUAUGUAUCAGGUAUGGAUAUAUAACUAUUCCAAUUGUUUGGUGAUUUCUACACUAGAAUAGCUAGCUGCAAGGAGGAAAGCAGGUAUAAUUUAAGUCAAUUAGUUGCAAUGGGUUUCCAAGUUCUUUUGUUUGUGCUGUUAACAGCCGGUGUUGUUCAUUCCUAUUAUCAAGCCAAGCCUACACGAUGCUUAUUUCCGUGUGAAUUUAGAGAAAACAUACCAAUCCUGGAAGAGCGGAGUAAUAUAUGGAUUCUCAACACUCCAUCCCUUGGUACAUAUACCAACUUAUCACGGCCAAUAGGAGAACAGACAUCAGUAUCUGAAUGUAUCAUGAGACAGGGGCCUUUCUUUAUAAUCAGAGAAUUUGGACUAUAUUUUUGUUUCAAGUUUAUGGCCCUAACUGAUACCGACUGGUUCGAAUACUUCAGUGCAGGAAGCGAGACUCUGCUACCUUUUUGUGAGUUGUGUGAUGGUUCAAAAUUUUCAGGACCACUUUAUUUUUCAG